AAAUGGUUUUCGGAUGAUAACUCAAGAACGCAUACGCUUAGGAUCAUGAAACUUCAUGGGUAGAUUGAUCAUGACUCGCAAAUGACCCCUAUUGAUUUUGAGGUCACUAGGUCAAAGGUCAAGGUCACAGUGACCCGAAAUAGUAAAAUGGUUUCCAGAUGAUAACUCAAGAACGCAUACGCCUAGGAUCAUGAAACUUCAUGGGUAGAUUGAUCAUGACUCGCAGAUGACCCCUAUCAAUUUUGAGGUCACUAGGUCAAAGGUCAAGGUCACGGUGACCCGAAAUAGUAAAAUGGUUUCCGGAUGAUAACUCAAGAACGCAUACGCCUAGGAUCAUGAAACUUCAUAGGUAGAUUGAUCAUGACUUGCAGAUGACCCCUAUUGUUUUUGAGGUCACUAGGUCAAAGGUCAAGGUCACGGUGACCUGAAAUAGUAAAAUGGUUUUCGGAUGAUAACUCAAGAACGCUUUUGCCUAGGAUCAUGAAACUUCAUAGGUACAUUGAUCGUGACUCGCAGAUGACCCCUAUUGAUUUUCAGGUCACUAGGUCAAAGGUCAAGGUCACAGUGACAAAAAUCGUGCUCACACAAUGGCUGCCACUACAAUGGACAGCCCAUAUGGGGGGCAUGCAUGUUUUACAAACAGCCCUUGU